CCUACGGGAGGCUGCAGUGGGGAAUAUUGGACAAUGGGCGAAAGCCUGAUCCAGCCAUGCCGCGUGUGUGAAGAAGGCCUUCGGGUUGUAAAGCACUUUCAGUGGGGAAGAAAGCCUUGGGGCUAAUACCCUCGAGGAAGGACAUCACCCACAGAAGAAGCACCGGCUAACUCCGUGCCAGCAGCCGCGGUAAUACGGAGGGUGCGAGCGUUAAUCGGAAUUACCGGGCGUAAAGCGCGCGUAGGCGGUCUGAUAAGCCGGUUGUGAAAGCCCCGGGCUCAACCUGGGAACGGCAUCCGGAACUGUCAGGCUAGAGUGCAGGAGAGGAAGGUAGAAUUCCCGGUGUAGCGGUGAAAUGCGUAGAGAUCGGGAGGAAUACCAGUGGCGAAGGCGGCCUUCUGGACUGACACUGACGCUGAGGUGCGAAAGCGUGGGUAGCAAACAGGAUUAGAUACCCUAGUAGUC
rnacentral:rRNA from 1 species